rnacentral:lncRNA from 1 species
UGCCGUUGCUGUUGUUGAAGGUCUGGUGUCAAUGAAAUCCCAAAUUCUAGAAUACACCUGUAAGAAUAAAACUGAUUUUUUUCCCAACAGGAUAACAGGAUUCGCCUUGGAAUUAAAAUGCCUUUCUAAGAAAAUACAUUAUGAGUAUACCACUCCAGAUCUGUUUGGGCAUUUUCCUAAAGACGACAGCCUGCUGUGUGUCCAACGUAAUGCUAGACACUGGUGGCCAAGGCCCUGCCUGGAUAGAGAAUGUCACCUGGGGAAAAAUUCAAACAGCAAGAACUCAGUGUGAGGAUUCUGACCAAAUGAACAGGCAGCACUGCAUUCCAGGCCCCCAAAGGUAGAAGCCAACAUCCAGUUUUCAACAAAGGAACAAUUGGGUAAGUAAGCAUUUUGAUGGCCUCCAAAGCCUAAUAA